rnacentral:rRNA from 1 species
CAGCCGUUGCUGGCUUGUGCGUUGUCUAGCGCCUGGCCGCAACGAGUAGGAGGGUCGUGGCGGUUGCGUCGAAGGCUUUGGGCGUAGGCCCAGCUGGAGCUUCCGUCAGUGCAGAUCUCGGUGGUAGUAGCAAAUAUUUAAGUUCGAUCCUUGAAGACUGAAGUGGAGAAGGGUUCCACGUGAACAGUAGUUGAAUGUGGGUCAGUCGAUCCUAAGAUACUGGCUUAUGCCUUGUAUCACUGAGAGGGAAAAGUUUCUUUUCUCUCGGAUAUCAAAAGGGAAUAGGGUUAAUAUUCCCUAACGCAGACACAGAGAUUGCGGCUCUUUGAGUCGCUUGCGCGGUAACGCAUUCGAACUUGGUUACGUCGCUCAGAGACCGAGCUAGAGUUCUCUUCUCUAGUUAAGGAACGGACUCCCUGGAAUCGGUUCAGCCGUAGAUAGGGACGUUGUUUCCGUAAAGCAUCGCGGUUUCUGUGAUGUCUCGUGUUCUUUGGACGGCCCUUGAAAAACCAAGGAAGGCUAUCAAUCUGUGCUGCAUCGUACCG